rnacentral:rRNA from 1 species
GGCGGAGCGCAGCUACCUGCAGUCGAGCGAGAAAGCCUUCGGUGUGAGUACAGCGGCGGACGGGUGAGUAACGCGUAGGAAUCUACCUGGUAGUGGGGGACAACUCGGGGAAACUCGAGCUAAUACCGCAUACGCCCUUCGGGGGAAAGCGGGGGAUCUUCGGACCUCGCGCUAUUGGAUGAGCCUGCGUCGGAUUAGCUUGUUGGUGGGGUAAAGGCCUACCAAGGCGACGAUCCGUAGCUGGUCUGAGAGGAUGAUCAGCCACACUGGGACUGAGACACGGCCCAGACUCCUACGGGAGGCAGCAGUGGGGAAUAUUGCGCAAUGGGGGAAACCCUGACGCAGCCAUGCCGCGUGUGUGAAGAAGGCCCUAGGGUUGUAAAGCACUUUCAAUAGGGAAAAAAGGCGUACGGUUAAUACCCGUGCGAGUUGAUAUUACCUAUAGAAGAAGCACCGGCUAACUCCGUGCCAGCAGCCGCGGUAAUACGGAGGGUGCGAGCGUUAAUCGGAAUUACUGGGCGUAAAGCGCGCGUAGGCGGUCUGUUAAGUCAGCUGUGAAAGCCCCGGGCUUAACCUGAGAACUGCAGUUGAUACUGGCAGGCUAGAGUACGAGAGAGGGAGGUAGAAUUCCAUGUGUAGCGGUGAAAUGCGUAGAUAUAUGGAGGAAUACCAGUGGCGAAGGCGGCCUCCUGGCUCGAUACUGACGCUGAGGUGCGAAAGCGUGGGUAGCAAACAGGAUUAGAUACCCUGGUAGUCCACGCCGUANACGAUGUCUACUAGCCGUUGGGUGACUUGAUUGCCCAGUGGCGCAGCUAACGCAAUAAGUAGACCGCCUGGGGAGUACGGCCGC